rnacentral:lncRNA from 10 species
UCCAAUCACCUCUCACCAGGCCCCAUCUCCAGCACUGGGGAUUACAAUUCAACGUGAUAUUUGGUGGGGAGGAAGACCCAAACCACAUCAAUUAGCAAUAGCAGGCAAUUUCAGAAGAUACCUUCUACAUCACCAGAAAGGAUUGAGCUGGGGCCCCAGCAGUGCAAGAACAAAGAAAACAAGAUAAGUAAACUUACAUUGGAACUAAAGUCCACAAAAGUCCACCAGAACCUAUACACUAAAGUUAAACAGGUUGACUGCAAGCUAAAGUAGAAGCUCCUUGUGUAAUACCUACCCUUUGAGUAUGGGUUGGUUUUAGUUAUUUGCUUCCAGAGAAUAGAAAUUUCUUCCAUGAUUCAGUGCAUAAUAUUUUGACUUGUCUUUCUUGCUAGUAGACUUUCAUGCUCUCACUCUCUCUCUCUCCCUCUCUCUCUGUCUCUCUCACUGGCAGAAGAAAUCUUAAAAGUUUGAGAAGAAAAUAUGGUAAAUAACUAAGAGAAAUCUCUGGUCAAUACUCAACAAGUCCUUCAGUCCAACAAUAUUCCAUACAUGAAAUCCUGCCAAAAACCAGACUCAGCACCAAACACACGAGAUGAAACAUAAGAUGCAUAAACACAACCCUUGCCUUUGAAGAAAAUUUGCACUAAUGGCAGAGAUGGGUGCUGUAUGAGUGAGCUGUGGCUGCCAUAGCAAGACAUCAUAGAUUGGAUGGCUUAAACAACAGAAAUUUAUUUUUUCACAGUUCUGGAGGCCAGAAAUCCCCAAUAAAGGUACUGACUGAUUAGGUGAGGGCUUUAUUUCUGCUGACAGACAACCACCUUCUUGUUGAGUUUUUAUACGGUCUUUUCUCUGUGGCUCAUAGAGAGAGACAGAGAGAGCUCUGGUGUUUUUUCCUCUUCUUAUUAGGACACCAGUCCUGUAUCACUAAGGCUCCAUCCUGAUGAUUCCACUUAGCCAGUAACUAUGGGAAUUAGGGCUUCAACAUACAAAUUUAGAGAAAUGUGAUUCCGUUCAUAACAGGUGCUUAACUAGAAUUCUGUAUGCACAUUGUUUUAUGAAAAAGCGACAUGAAACCUAAGGAUUUACUGUCUGUUGUAGAAUUUCUCAUAUAAAGAAGAACCUGAGGCAAGUACAGAAAUGUUACCUCCCUACCUUCUCAUUGGAAAGCAGCUCACAGAGAAUACAAUAGUUCUACCCACUAUGCCCGUAUAAUGCAAUGAUAUAUAUCCGUCACUAAAAUCUCCAUGCUUGUCUCACCCAACGUCUCAAACUAUGCUAUAACUAUUGGCGGAUCUCACAUAAUUGAGCAAUCUGAAUGAUGGAAUUGUACACUAGUUGAAUACAGGAGAUACUAUUUUACAUAGCACAGCAAAGCUCUCCCAUAACUCUACAAAUAGGGCUGAAAAAAUCAAAUACGUAAAAUGCAGCGUCAUGUUAUUGCAUGGUUAAUAAAAUUACUGACUCUUCUCAGCUAUCUGAGUGUUUUAGGUUCCUGAGAGCCAAGUCAGUCAUGUCAUUUCCGAAUUUUGGUGAUCAAAGGGUGGAUGAUCACAGUUUUACUCCAUUUCAACUUGAUUAUUAGUUACAUUAAAAAAAGGUUUUUCUAUGUGUGCUGUGAGACUGAUUCUCAUUUAGUAUGGUUUCAUUAAAAAUUAGGAUCCCUUUUUCCCUCUUGGUUAAGCCAGUAAGAUUGUAGAUUGUCAGACUCUGCCUUGUUCUUUUCCUGAAAUCCAAAGGUAAAAUGCAGUAACGAGAGUAGGGAUGCCAAUAAUGUGGAGGCAAGGAAAAAGCAGCUCCAGGGACAACAUCGGGAAGCGCGAUAGGAUGUUGGCUAAAAAGCUUGCUUUUUCACGUUAUGUCAGAUUUCACAUUCUAACUUCAUCAUUUCCUGGUUAAAGCAUCUUGAACAAAUCACUUUUUGAAUCACUUAGCACCAUGGCUUCUACAUUUCAAGCCCCAAAGGGUAGGAAUUAUUAUUAUUAAUGCUAUUACCAAAGAUGCUAACAAAGGAAAGGGUUUUCACUGUCCAACAUGGUUCAUGUUUAUGAAAUAUUUAUAAAUGGUGCUCACAUUCAAGAGCAAGCCUGUAGAGAUCUUUGGGCAAAUGCCUUGUUAAAGAGAAUUAAUCUAAAUAUUGUUUGUCAUUUGCUCAAGUACACUAAUUCUAUUAGUCUCAACUAUUCAAGGAUAAUCAUUGAAGGCCUAACUCCACAGGAACUGGAUUGAAGAUAAGAUUGGAGGACCACAAUUUCACCAGUACGUUACUUAGAAUAAGCAACUAGGUCCUCACAACAAUCCCUAUUUUCCAGAUGAGAGUGUUGAGGCUCAGAGAGGUAAGCAAAUUGUUUAACUUAUUCCAGCUCUCAAG